rnacentral:sRNA from 1 species
AAUCCGGUUCCAUCCGGUUCUCCCACCGCCCCCGCUGUGGGUCUCAGCAGCUCGGGCGGCGGGAGGAGUGGCAGCGGCAAGGCAGCCCAGUUUCGCGAAGGCUCUCGGCGCGCCGCGGCCCGCAGGCACCCGGCACGCGCCUUCCCCGCCGCCACGAUGCCCAAGAGGAAGGUCAGCUCCGCCGAAGGCGCCGCCAAGGAAGAGCCCAAGAGGAGAUCGGCGCGGUUGUCAGCUAAACCUCCUGCAAAAGUGGAAGCGAAGCCGAAAAAGGCAGCAGCGAAGGUAGGCCUCGAAACGCGCAUUGGGAUGCAGCGGGGCCUUAGGCUACACUGCUUCUUAAUGCGGGACUUUCCAUUGUGAUUAGCUAUUUGAGCUUUCUUUAUACUUUAAUAAUUACGGUAAAUAAUUUUUCUAGUGGUCGAGGCAAAAAUGUAAUGGAUAUAUUCAUCCUGGUUUAUAGAACUGUAUCACACUAAUGCUGCAGAUGUUAGGAGACUUAGGACGACAAAAAAUAUUCAAUAUUAAGUCUACAAAGGAAAUUUAUUCUUUGCGUUGCGUACAUUGUGGCUGGUGCUUGGCUUUUAAUUGCGUGCUUGUACUUCCUUUUUUGACAAUAAAAGAGUCAAGUUAGCACUGAGGCCAGGAGAAAGGGACCGUGUAAGUUUUUAUAUAUACAGUUUCCAAGCCAACUUCGGGAAGCCUUAACCUUUUUACGGGGUGGGGGUGGGGAGGUAAAAAGUUGUGAUCUCUGAGAAAAUAGCCGCCACUACUCUGGAAGUGUUCAGCAGCAGUUAUACAAAACCGUGAUUUUGGCUGCUCCCUAACAAAUUCGUGAUUGCAUGAUUCGAAUUGCAGGUCUGUAGAAUGAAGUUGGCUUUGGGUAUACGUGUGUUUGAUAACUUUCAGGGUGGAAAAGCAGAACAUGUGUAAAACAUGUAUAAGCUUUGUGUUUGGAUAUGGCAUUGAAACCACCACCUGUAAAGCUCUACAUGUUCUUCGCGGGGUGAUUAAUUUUUAUCCAAAACUUAGGUGAGAGUUUGCUAUUUGAAGUCUCAAAAAAAAUUUUUGUUAAUGCCUUCACCUCUUUCCUAAAAGUGUAGGUGGAAGUUUAGCACUGCAGUCAUCAGAAGAGGCAAGAUUAAUUUCCUUGACAUUGAGGAGUUGUUGGCUAAUUACUAAAUUUGUCCUUGUUAAAUAAAGGUAUAAAACAAAGACGUUUUUUCUUUUUUAACUUAAAUUUUUUACAGAGCUGAGUGUAAAAAUAUUAACUAUGUUUUCUUUAACAGAAAGUUCUGUUUUUGUGAUCCUUUUAAAAAUAAAGCUUCACGGAAGGUAUGAGAAUAGUAUUUUUCAACUUUAAAUUUCUCAUUACCAGAAGACCAUGUGGUAAUUUCUCUGUAUACAGUUAGAACAGCACGGAAACUUGAAGGCCUAAAAAAUUAGCUGACCUUGUUAAAAAUGUUGGCGUGAGCGGUAUAUUAUUACCUAUCUUUUUUGAUUCUGUGUGUGUGUGUGUGUUUUUUAAACUAAUUGGCUGAAAUAUCUGCCUGUUUCCCUCUUUACAUUUUUCUUGUUUCUUUCCUUAUUUAUCUUUGUCCAUCUUGAGAUCUACUGUAAAGUGAAUUUUUUAAUGAAAACAGUUCCAAGUUUUACUCUCAGUGGGUUUGGGACAUCAGAUGUAAUUGAGAGGCCAACAGGUAAGUCUUCAUGUCAGUGUUUGUUGAGGAACGAGCCUAUGAGGUCAGUUUUCCCAAAAGGAAAAAGGGCAGAAGGGAUUUGUUCAUUUUUACAUCUCGUUUCUGUAGUACACCUUUGACUUCAUGGUUGAUCAGACUUUGAAGUCUAAACAGAACGUAAGCACUGGGUGUAUCGAUUAUCAUACUACACAGUAGACAUGUUUUCAAGGCAUAUCUUGUCACUGUGUGUGCUUCUGACUUGUAUCUUUCCCUAGAACUAAAUAUUUUGAAGGUCCAAACAUUAUACUUCGGGAAACUUGAUUGAUUUUUUUUUUUAAUCUAGCUUUUCAGCUGAUAAUGGUUACACGUGGUAUUAUUUCAAGUCCAAGGUAUUAUGUAUUCUAUUUUAACUGUUUCCCAGUUUUGUAUUUUUUGUAUUGGAAUGAUUAUGAAAUUAAUGAGAAAUCUUUAGAAAUCAGACUACAAAAGAGUAGUUCUUAAAUACAGAAGUGAUUGUGAAACUGUGAUAGCAAUGUGUGUAGUAGCAGUUUUGUCUCAAAUACAUUUAUCAUUUGUUACUCAAAGGAUAUUGAAGUAUUAAAAGUCAUUAUGCUGUCUGUGGAAUCCUACUAUUAGUACAGAACACCCUGCAGUGAUUUUUCCGCCCAUGUUAGCAUUGAAGUUGUGAGCUCUACUUGCUUGUCUUUAUGGCCCUUUAAUUCAAGUAAUUGGUCAGUAUCCGUUUGGGUCUUUUAUACCACCCGCUGGGGGCUAAACUAAUUUAGCUGCUGCUGUAUACUUACUAACAAGGAAUAAAUGUUAAGCUUUCUUCUCAGUAUUGAUGGAUGGUAUCUAAAAGUAUUUUUAUGUUUCUUUAACAUGGCUUAAAUUUUGAACUUAAUGUAUCAAGUUAGUAUGGUCAUAUUAAUACCUGUGCUUUUCAGAUUCUUCAAACACCUAAAUGAAAGUGAUAAAUUCAAAACUGAUCCUUUUAGUUCCUCAUUAUAUGAUAUGAAGGGAUUAACUGUAGCAGGAUAGUCAACCUGACCGUACGGCAUGGUGCUUUUUUUCAGGUGAUUGGUCUUAAUGUGAGGGUUAAGGUCUUGUGAGGACAGUAUUGUUCAAGUUCACAACAAAUUUGGGGAUGGGUGGGAAUACAGUCGACGAGACUCCUCCGGUAUUUAACUUCAUGACAUUGUCCUGUCAUGUGGAACUGUAGAGAAUAGUGGAUGAUGGUGACAGUGGUGAAAUAUAGCUCGGGCUUUAGGAUUUGUCAUAUGUCUAAUGAGGCUUGACAUGCAAGUACUAUUAAAAUCUCCUUAGCAUACGUUGUUUUCCUGAUUACUGGGGUGGACCUUAAGUUGUCUCAUGUAAUAGGUGUAUCAACUGAUGUGUGAUAGACAUUAAUAUGACAGCUGUUAUGGAUACAGUCUAUACAAAAUGAGAUCCUUUCAUAAGCUUGAAGAUUGGGGUUUCAUGCUCAUGCGUGAGAUGUCCCUCUCUCAAACCUUACUAUGAAGUCAGCACCACUGGGCACAUUACUUGUCUGACAUGAAGGGGAAAAAGUAAAACAAAAUGUAAAUAAGGGGUAAAGCAUGUACUUAAAAUAUAUUCUUAUUCUAUCAUAGGAUAAAUCUUCAGACAAAAAAGUGCAAACAAAAGGGAAAAGGGGAGCAAAGGGAAAACAGGCCGAAGUGGCUAACCAAGAAACUAAAGAAGAUUUACCUGCGGAAAACGGGGAAACGAAGACUGAGGAGAGUCCAGCCUCUGAUGAAGCAGGAGAGAAAGAAGCCAAGUCUGAUUAAUAACCAUAUACCAUGUCUUAUCAGUGGUCCCUGUCUCCCUUCUUGUACAAUCCAGAGGAAUAUUUUUAUCAACUAUUUUGUAAAUGCAAGUUUUUUAGUAGCUCUAGAAACAUUUUUAAGAAGGAGGGAAUCCCACCUCAUCCCAUUUUUUAAGUGUAAAUGCUUUUUUUUAAGAGGUGAAAUCAUUUGCUGGUUGUUUAUUUUUUGGUACAACCAGAAAAUAGUGUGGGAUAUUGAAUUAUGGGAGGCUCUGACUGUCUCGGGUGUCAGCUUAACAUUCCACAGAUGGGGGGUUAGUUUUUAUAUCCUAUAAUACAAAGCAUAUUAAAUGGCAAUAUGGAGUCAGUCCUGCAUUUAAUGUCUUGAACAUUUUAAAUUACUUCUAUUACCAUGUUGUUUUUUAGUAGAAUUGUUUCCUAAAGAAAACCACUCUUUGAUCAUGGCUCUCUCUGCCAGAAUUGUGUGCACUCUGUAACAUCUUUGGUUGUGGUAGUCCUGUUUUCCUAAUAACUUUGUUACUGUGCUGUGAAAGAUUACAGAUUUGAACAUGUAGUGUAUGUGCUAUUGAGUUGUGAACUGGUGGGCCGUAUGUAACAGCUGACCAACGUGAAGAUACUGGUACUUGAUAGCCUCUUAAGGAAAAUUUGCUUCCAAAUUUUAAGCUGGAAAGUCACUGGAAUAACUUUAAAAAAGAAUUACAAUACAUGGCUUUUUAGAAUUUCGUUACGUAUGUUAAGAUUUGUGUACAAAUUGAAAUGUCUGUACUGAUCCUCAACCAAUAAAAUCUCAGUUAUGAAAAUA